rnacentral:rRNA from 1 species
GAUGAACGCUGGCGGCGUGCCUAAUACAUGCAAGUCGAGCGAACGGACGAGAAGCUUGCUUCUCUGAUGUUAGCGGCGGACGGGUGAGUAACACGUGGAUAACCUACCUAUAAGACUAGGAUAACUUCGGGAAACCGGAGCUAAUACCGGAUGAUAUUUUGAACCGCAUGGUUCAAAAGUGAAAGACGGUCUUGCUGUCACUUAUAGAUGUAUCCGCGCUGCAUUAGCUAGUUGGUAAGGUAACGGCUUACCAAGGCAACGAUGCAUAGCCGACCUGAGAGGGUGAUCGGCCACACUGGAACUGAGACACGGUCCAGACUCCUACGGGAGGCAGCAGUAGGGAAUCUUCCGCAAUGGGCGAAAGCCUGACGGAGCAACGCCGCGUGAGUGAUGAAGGUCUUCGGAUCGUAAAACUCUGUUAUUAGGGAAGAACAUAUGUGUAGGUAACUGUGCACAUCUUGACGGUACCUAAUCAGAAAGCCACGGCUAACUACGUG